AGAGCGCCUCUCUCUCUCUCUCUCUCUCUCUCUGUGUCUUACCAGAAAACGAACCAAAGAGUAAGUUGAAAAGGGCUUUUCACCGGCCAUCCAAAUACCAACAAAAUAACUCUCUCUCUCGCAUUGCACAGAAAGAAAUGCCCUUAUGACUCUUCCUAUCCCCUUCGUUUAUAUGGGACCCUUCUCCUCUCUAUUCUGUCUCUCACUCUCUCUCUUUCUUUCAACUCCAUCUGAUUGAGAAAGGAAAGGAAAUGAAAUGGAGGGAAAGAAAGAAUUUGCUGGUGGGGCUACGCUUAGAGCACAAAUCAGAAAUUGGCUUAAGAGGACAAGCACUUCUCAUCUUUCUCAACCACCCAUUUGGGCCAUUUUCUUCUUAUACAAGAUGAAAUGAACAUUUUGCCCUUCCUUCAAAGGGUUUCAUUUCAUCCCUUUCUGUAAUCAAUGGUCUUUUUAGUCAUUUUGCAUUAGAAGGUUAUUCCAUUGUGAAGAAGAGCCAGCACUACUACUACUACAAUUACUACUGGUCUUGAAGGAGCAAUCUGUAAGGAGAAGAUGAUUAAUGUCUAACUGGAUAUAUUUGUUUAAUUAGGUCAGUUUGAUUUGUGAUUCUGGUGUUGCACUUUUUUCUUUUCUCUAAUUACCUUGUAUUAUUAAUUAACUGGAUCUUUAAUAUAAAUAACAUAUUGGAAUUAAUUUUAAUUUCUCCACAAAAACAUAACGAUAAACUAUGGUUUUUUUUUUCUUAUUUCAUGUCUGUAUUUUUUAUUUGUUUCUUUCUACCUCUCUGCAAUCUAUUUUUCUGCCGGCAAAUUCUUUGGUGUAUUAAUAUUUAUUCAUAUAUUUAAUUAUGUUGACAUAAACACAAAUGCAAGCUCUUGGAACUUAGAUUGUCUUUGUUCUUGUCCUAAUAUUUAUUGCCAAUGGAAAUUAGGUCAAAGCAUUAGAAAUACAGUAAUGUUGAAUGGAAAUAUAAGGGAAUUGAGCUUCAAUAAUGGUGGGAGAGAUAAAGGAGGAAAGGAGAGCUUUUGUUGUGUGUUUUUGUUUCUUUUACUUCCUUCUUUUUUUUUUUUUUUUCUUUUUAAAUCAUUGUCUUCAAAGAAUCAUUAAUUGCAGAUACGACAUAUACAUGUAAAGGGUACAACAGAAAUAAACCCCCGUGAAGAAAAUCUAAACAAUCAUGAUGAUGGCUCCAUUUCUUUCUUUCUUUCUUUUUUUUAAUUAUUAUUAUUCUUUGAGAUAUAAUGGCUUGAUCAAGUUGAAUGUUGUAUAUUUCUUAUAAGUAAUAAUAAUAAUAAUCAUUAUAUGUAGAAAUAUAGACAUUCAACAUGCUAAUUUGCCAUGGCUUAAUCAUGGUGUGUAUACAGUCAUAUUAAUUGCCAUGGCAGUGUUCAUACCGGAAUAUGGAAACUAAAUGGAGGUAAGAACAACACAUUCUAGAUCAUGUUUGAAUAAUUAAUUGAUUGUUUAUCGUUGGAAAA